GGUCCGUGAUGAGAAAUAGCCAAAUCUGACCACCAGAAGAUGUUUUAUCUUCUAGGUGUCAUGAUUUGUAUGCAGUUCUGAGA
ensembl:snoRNA